rnacentral:rRNA from 1 species
UGAGGAAUAUUGGUCAAUGGGCGAGAGCCCGAACCAGCCAAGUCGCGUGAGGGAAGACGGUCCUAUGGAUUGUAAACCUCUUUUGCCGGGGAGCAAAGAGCGGCACGUGUGCCGCGCCGAGAGUACCCGGAGAAAAAGCAUCGGCUAACUCCGUGCC